rnacentral:rRNA from 1 species
AGUGAACGCUGGCGGCAGGCCUAACACAUGCAAGUCGAGUGGAUGAGGGGAGCUUGCUUCCUGAUUCAGCGGCGGACGGGUGAGUAAUGCCUAGGAAUCUGCCCGAUAGUGGGGGACAACGUUUCGAAAGGAACGCUAAUACCGCAUACGUCCUACGGGAGAAAGUGGGGGAUCUUCGGACCUCACGCUAUCGGGUGAGCCUAGGUCGGAUUAGCUAGUUGGUGGGGUAAAGGCUCACCAAGGCGACGAUCCGUAACUGGUCUGAGAGGAUGAUCAGUCACACUGGAACUGAGACACGGUCCAGACUCCUACGGGAGGCAGCAGUGGGGAAUAUUGGACAAUGGGCGAAAGCCUGAUCCAGCCAUGCCGCGUGUGUGAAGAAGGUCUUCGGAUUGUAAAGCACUUUAAGUUGGGAGGAAGGGCAGUCAGUUAAUACCUUGCUGUCUUGACGUUACCAACAGAAUAAGCACCGGCUAACUUCGUGCCAGCAGCCGCCGUAACAC